CAUCUAUUAGCUUAGUUGGUCAGAGUGUGGUGCUGCUAACCAGGUCAUGGGUUUGAUCCCCCACAUGGGUGC